UACGUAGGCGGUUUACUAAGUCAGAUGUGAAAGCCCCGGGCUUAACCUGGGAACUGCAUUUGAUACUGGUAGGCUAGAGUAUGGUAGAGGGGGGUAGAAUUCAUAGUGUAGCGGUGAAAUGCGUAGAUAUUAUGAGGAAUACCAGUGGCGAAGGCGGCCCCCUGGACCAAUACUGACGCUGAGGUACGAAAGCGUGGGUAGCGAACAGGAUUAGAUACCCUGGUAGUC
rnacentral:rRNA from 1 species